rnacentral:rRNA from 1 species
CUACGGGGGGCUGCAGUGGGGAAUAUUGCGCAAUGGGCGAAAGCCUGAUGCAGCAACGCCGCGUGAGUGAUGAAGGUUUUCGGAUCGUAAAGCUCUGUCAGGAGGAACGAAUAACUGCCGUGAACAAUACCACGGCGGCUUGACGGUACCUCCAAAGGAAGCACCGGCUAACUCCGUGCCAGCAGCCGCGGUAAUACGGAGGGUGCAAGCGUUGUUCGGAAUUACUGGGCGUAAAGCGCGUGUAGGCGGACUCGGUAGUCGGGUGUGAAAGCCCUGGGCUCAACCCAGGAAGGGCGCCCGAAACCACGAGUCUUGAGAUCCGGAGAGGAUCGGGGAAUUCCUGGUGUAGAGGUGAAAUUCGUAGAUAUCAGGAAGAACACCGGUGGCGAAGGCGCCGAUCUGGACGGUUUCUGACGCUGAGACGCGAAAGCGUGGGGAGCAAACAGGAUUAGAUACCCUUGUAGUC